rnacentral:misc_RNA from 1 species
UACGUAGGGUGCAAGCGUUGUCCGGAUUUAUUGGGCGUAAAGAGCUCGUAGGCGGUCUGUUACGUCGGUUGUGAAAACUCGGGGCUUAACCCCGAGUCUGCAUCCGAUACGGGCAGACUUGAGUGUGGUAGGGGAGACUGGAAUUCCUGGUGUAGCGGUGAAAUGCGCAGAUAUCAGGAGGAACACUGAUGGCGAAGGCAGGUCUCUGGGCCACAACUGACGCUGAGGAGCGAAAGCGUGGGGAGCAAACAGG